ACGGAUUGUGUCCGUAAUCACA
rfam:Citreicella sp. 357 C357_106, whole genome shotgun sequence.